rnacentral:rRNA from 1 species
CACCGCGGUUAUACGAGAGGCCCAAGCUGACAGACAUCGGCGUAAAGAGUGGUUAGGAAACAUAAAUUAAACUAGAGCCGAAUGCUUCCAAGGCUGUUAUACGCACCCGAAAGCAAGAAGUACAACAACGAAAGUAGCCCUAUUAAUUCUGAACCCACGAAAGCUAAGGCACAAACUGGGAUUAGAUACCCCACUAUGCCUAGCCCUAAACAUUGAUGGUCCCCCACUUAAACCAUCCGCCAGGGAACUACGAGCAUUAGCUUAAAACCCAAAGGACUUGGCGGUGCUUUAGAUCCACCUAGAGGAGCCUGUUCUAGAACCGAUAACCCCCGUUCAACCUCACCUUUCCUUGUUCAACCCGCCUAUAUACCACCGUCGUCAGCUUAUCCUGUGAAGGCCUUUUAAUAAGCAAAACUGGCAAAGCCUAAAACGUCAGGUCGAGGUGUAGCGUACGGAAAGGGAAGCAAUGGGCUACAUUCCCUAUCUUAGGUAAUCACGGACGAUAUACUGAAAUAUAUAUCUAAAGGAGGAUUUAGUAGUAAGAGAAGAAUAGAGAGCUUCUCUGAAACCGGCCCUGAAGCGCGCACACACCGCCCGUCACUCUCCCCAAGCUCUCACCAACCCUAUAAUUAAUUCGCCAACUUUGCUAAGGGGAGGCAAGUCGUAA